GAUGAAGAACGCAGCGAAAUGCGAUACUUGGUGUGAAUUGCAGAAUCCCGUGAACCAUCGAGUCUUUGAACGCAAGUUGCGCCCGAAGCCAUCAGGUUGAGGGCACGUCUGCCUGGGCGUCACAUAUCGUUGCCGAAUGCCUAUUGCAGUGCAAUAGGAAUUUCUAGGGCGAAUGAUGGCUUCCCGUGAGCGUUGUUGCCUCGCGGUUGGUUGAAAAUCGAGUCCUUGGUAGGGUGUGCCAUGGUAGAUGGUGGUCGAGUUAGAACGAUACCGAUCAUGUGCAUGCUCCCCAAAAUAUGGCCUCUAUGACCCACACGCGUCUUUUGACGCUCAUGACGAGACCUCAGGUCAGGCGGGGCUACCCGCUGAAUUUAAGCAUAUCAAUAAGCGGAGGA
rnacentral:misc_RNA from 1 species